UUCUAAUAAAGAUUUAUUUAUGCUGUGGUGCCGUAACUGUUGUAGGUUGGACUCUUAAGAGAAAUUUCCAAUAGAUCAAAUAAUGCAGAGCUAAAGUUGUUUUUGGAACUAGAAAUAGGGAAGGAUUUGCAGCCUAUUCCUCCUCCUGAGAAGUCAAAAGAGAAUCUGUUGCUUUUCUUUAAACUUUAUGAGCCUUCAAAUGAAAAGCUUAGGUAUGUUGGACGGCUCUUUGUGAUGUUCAGUGGGAAGCCAGUAGAUAUAUUGGUAAAACUAAAUGAAAUGGCUGGAUAUG